AUGUCGCCGACAACCUGUGGAACGCGCACCUUGGGGGCGGCCGCCGCGGCGUGUUCCGCCCGUUCGGCGACACCGUGGCGAAGGCAUCGACUUCUUCAUCGACCAGGGCGCGCCGGACCACUACGAGGAGCUCGCCAGGCGUCUGUCCGGAUACAACCGGUACUACCGCGGCGCGCCGGGGUGAGGCUGACGGCGACGCCGCGGUGCGUGUACCCGGACUGGUACGUCCAGAGGGCGCUGGACACGGGGCUGUUCGAGCGGAUCCACGUCAGGUUCUACGGCGAAGACCGGUGCUCGUACAGCCACGUGCACAAAGACGGGGUGAUGGCGCAGUGGAGCAAGUGGACGGCGAGGUACCCCCGGAGCAAGGUGUACAUCGGGCUGCCGGCGGCGAACGUGCCCGGGACUGGGAGGAACGACGAGGUCGGCCUCAUGUCGAUGAACUACGACCUGAUGCGGUGA
rnacentral:rRNA from 1 species